UCGGAUUGCAGGCUGCAACUCGCCUGCAUGAAGUCGGAAUUGCUAGUAAUCGCGGAUCAGCAUGCCGCGGUGAAUACGUUCCCGGGCCUUGUACACACCGCCCGUCACACCAUGGGAGCCGGUAAUACCCGAAGUCAGUACCGUCCAACCUCGUGAGGACGCUGCCGAAGGUAGGAUUGGCGACUGGGGUGAAGUCGUAACAAGGUACC
rnacentral:rRNA from 1 species